rnacentral:rRNA from 1 species
AACGAACGCUGGCGGCAUGCCUAACACACGCAAGUCGAACGAGACCUUCGGGUCUAGUGGCGCACGGGUGCGUAACGCGUGGGAACCUGCCCUUAGGUUCGGAAUAACUCCCCGAAAGGGGUGCUAAUACCGGAUAAUGUCUUCGGACCAAAGAUUUAUCGCCUUUGGAUGGGCCCGCGUUGGAUUAGCUAGUUGGUAGGGUAAAAGCCUACCAAGGCGACGAUCCAUAGCUGGUCUGAGAGGAUGAUCAGCCACACUGGGACUGAGACACGGCCCAGACUCCUACGGGAGGCAGCAGUGGGGAAUAUUGGACAAUGGGCGAAAGCCUGAUCCAGCAAUGCCGCGUGAGUGAUGAAGGCCUUAGGGUUGUAAAGCUCUUUUACCCGGGAUGAUAAUGACAGUACCAGGAGAAUAAGCUCCGGCUAACUCCGUG